UCAUCUACUCACAGGACAGACCAUCACCUGCUUUAGAGGACAUGGUGUGUUGGGGAUGUUGUAUUGUGUGUUCAGCUUCUUUAACUGUGUGUCGGGAUGUUUUGUUGUUUAUGUAGGUUUUUAUUAUUCAUUAUUGCAUUGUGCACUGAGGCCGUUGGAUUGUGUGUUGGGCUUGUGUUGUAGAGAUGUUUGUGGCUGAUCAGCUGUUGUUUCGGCAAGUAUUGGUGUUUUUCUAACGGGAUCUUAAAAUUUUGUGCUUUUUUGUUUUUACCCUUAUGUUUACCUUCAUAAAACUAUAUCAAACUGUUGCACACAGAAAUAGCUUUUUUGUGCUCUGCUGGCAUAUGGAUAUGUGUGUGGCAUUUAAUAUUUGUAAGUUUACCUUUAAAAUGUCUUAUUUUCUGCUCUCUGCUUUGAUGUAGUUUCAUCCAGAAGUGUUUAGGACUGUAGCAUGGUGACCUGUUUAUCUCUCAGCCCUUGUGAAAAUGAUUAGAGUAAAAUGUCAUUACUUGCAGAGAUGGAGAGAGAGUGACGGUUCAAUCAGGCUGUGCACUGAACUGGCAUGAAAUCCAAGUAAAUGACCAUAAUUUUGUAGGUCAAAUUAAACUGAUUUGAGGAUGAGGAACAUCAAGUAGGAUAUUCAAGAGUGUGUUCAGGUCAUUAGGAUAACAGAUCAGAACAUGAAGAUACUGUACUCCUCAGACUAACACUGUACCGAUCAUCUCCUGUUUUUGUGAUACUGCGGUCACACCUUAUGUGGGAUGCCAUUAAAUAUUCAGCGUCACAGUGGA